GAUGAACGCUAGCGGCAGGCUUAAUACAUGCAAGUCGAGGGGUAGCAAGAUUGUAGCAAUACAAUUGUUGACGACCGGCAAACGGGUGCGGAACACGUACACAACCUUCCUACAAGUGGGGAAUAGCCCAGAGAAAUUUGGAUUAAUACCCCGUAACAUAGCGAUGUGGCAUCACAUUGCUAUUAUAGCUUCGGCGCUUGUUGAUGGGUGUGCGGCUGAUUAGAUAGUUGGCGGGGUAACGGCCCACCAAGUCUACGAUCAGUAGCUGAUGUGACAGAAUGAGCAGCCAAACGGGCACUGAGACACGGGACCGAUUCCUACAGGAGGCAGCAGUAAGGAAUAUUGGACAAUGGACGCAAGUCUGAUCCAGCCAUGCCGCGUGAAGGAUUAAGGUCCUCUGGAUUGUAAACUUCUUUUAUAAGGGACGAAAAAAGGUCUUUCUAGAUCGUCUGACGGUACCUUAUGAAUAAGCACCGGCUAACUCCGUGCCAGCCGCCGCAGUAACAC
rnacentral:rRNA from 1 species